GACGAACGCUGGCGGCGUGCUUAACACAUGCAAGUCGAACGGAAAGGCCCUGCUUUUGUGGGGUGCUCGAGUGGCGAACGGGUGAGUAACACGUGAGUAACCUGCCCUUGACUUUGGGAUAACUUCAGGAAACUGGGGCUCAUACCGGAUAGGAGCUCCUGCUGCAUGGUGGGGGUUGGAAAGUUUCGGCGGUUGGGGAUGGACUCGCGGCUUAUCAGCUUGUUGGUGGGGUAGUGGCUGACCAAGGCUUUGACGGGUAGCCGGCCUGAGAGGGUGACCGGCCACAUUGGGACUGAGAGACGGCCCAGACUCCAACGGGAGGCAGCAGUGGGGAAUAUUGCACAAUGGGCGGAAGCCUGAGGCAGCAACGCCGCGUGCGGGAUGACGGCUUUCGGGUUGUAAACCGCUUUCGCCUGUGACGAAGCGUGAGUGACGGUAAUGGGUAAAGAAGCACCGGCUAACUACGUG
rnacentral:rRNA from 1 species